UUUGAGUGACAUUAGACUCCAACAAACGCCCAUAAAUUAAAUGCAUCUAUUUGGGCCACGAUCGUGGCCUGUUGGUCUCUACCUGAUGGCCACGAUUGUGGCCCAUCAUGCUUUAUGUGUUAAGGUUACCAACAAAUUUGCUGCUCCAGGGA